rnacentral:rRNA from 1 species
UACGUAGGGGGCAAGCGUUGUCCGGAAUCAUUGGGCGUAAAGGGCGCGUAGGCGGCCCUGGCAAGUCGGGGGUGAAAGCUCGGGGCUCAACCCCGAAAGGGCCCCCGAUACUGCCGGGCUGGAGGGCUGGAGAGGAGACCGGAAUUCACGGUGUAGCAGUGAAAUGCGUAGAGCUCGUGAGGAAGGCCGGUGGCGAAGGCGGGUCUCUGGACAGUGCCUGACGCUGAGGCGCGAAGGCUAGGGGAGCAAACGGG